CUCCCCAUUUUCAUUCUUUCAAGAAAAAGAAAAACACCCCUACCCUCUCUCCUUCUUAUCACCUGAAAACUUCAUGAAAACCACCAUAAAUUUCCACUAAACCAACCAGCAAAAUUCGUUCUUGGUGAAGCUGAAGUUGCUCCUCUCUUUUGUGGUAUAUAUAUCCUUGUAAAAUCUAAGGGGAAGUGUUUGAGGAAGUGGACGAAUUUGGUUUGUCUAGGGCGUAGAUGAUUCGAACGUCCUCAAGUUAUGGUUGAACUAUUUUGUGGUAAAACACCAAGGUAAUGUACGGGAUGUAAUUUGAAGACGACCUUAUGAAGUAGUCUUUUUGGGAGCACUUAAGGAGAUCACAUUUGCAUAUGCACCAUGGUUUUGUAUAGUUUUGGGACUUGUACAUGAUAUAUAUGUCACACUUAUGUAUGUUAUUUAGAGGCUUGGAUAUUAAGACCAAAAUCUUGUAACUUGAAUUUGGUAACUUAUUUUGCUGUUUUAAGGUGUGUUAAUAACUCAAAUCUUGUAAUAUGUUUAAUUUAGACUUUGUCUUAUGUACAAAGGAGAAAUCUUGUAUAUGUACAAAGGAGAAAACUAGUUUUUCUUUUUAUACCCGACAGUUUGAAAUUUAUGUACAAUACAAACUUGCAGUGAUGUCGAAUGAAAGUAUAAUUUUGU